GAGCCACUUAAUCACUCAAAAUUCUCCAAUUUCUAGAUUAAGUGCUUCAAUGAAGCAUUUUGUUUUGGGCUGAUCUGAAGCAGCUGGUUACCUGAGCUAUCUAAGAAAAUACCCAAAUAUGUUUAUCAAUGCGAUCUACGGGGGAGCUAGGGUUUUUAGGGAGUUUGGCUCCUCUUAAUAAGCCCUAAGCUCCCCUGAAAAUAUGAUUUGUGAUAUUUUGGGGGGGUUCUAAAAUAUUGACAAUAUGCUAUUUUGCCACAUAUUUCUAUUUUUCUGUACCAUAAUGGAUCAUGCGUCGGGCUUCAUCCAGUCAGAGGGAACGAUCACCAACCAUCCUCUCCCUCACCCUGUAGGCUCCAGAGCCCCGCUCCCCCUCUGGUAGACCUACCGUGGGUUGUGUUGCCAGUGGAACCGGCGCACCAGACUGUCAGUGGUCGUUCCCUCUGGCCAGUGGCGCCGCCAGGGGGGGCCCCGGCCACCCUAAUAAAAUUGGUGGCCACCUCAGCCCACUUACACCCAGCUGAUUAAAUGGGUCAAGCCAACAAUUAAAACAGUUAAAGUGUGGACAGAUGAGGCUACAGCAGCUCUGCAGGACUGUUUUGGGAGCACGGACUGGAGUAUGUUCAGAGAGGCCGCCGCCCAGGAGAGCCACAUCAACCUUGAGGAAUAUACAUCAUCAGUGACAUCAUACAUCAGCAAAUGUGUUGAUGAUGUGGGGAAUCGCUAAAACGCUAAAAUCAUUCCCCAAUCAGAAGGCCUGGAUGAAUGGAGAGGUGAGGGCUCUAUCCAGAGCCAAAACAGCCAUGCGAUGGUAACUGGAUCAAGUUAAUGUUCCUGAUCAUUUGACGUGUUGCAACAUUAAGACUUUGUGAGGCUUCAUCAUCAUGCUUGGAGACUGCCGAUUUGUAUCAGAUGUGAGAAAAAGUUGCUGUUGGUAUUCUGUGAUGUGACAGUGGGAAUAUCCAAAAGGUAUUACUUCUGAAGUGUUUGUCAAUGAAAGGCUUAAUGUCCACAUAAAGCUUGGUGUCCAUCAGACUGAUGACUCCUCAGGUUGUUAACUGGCAGUAAAGGCUGCUCUGGAGAAGACUGAACAAUGUGCUCAGACUCUCAUGUGUUUAGGGAAGUUUGGCCACAGUCCCCUUUAUUAAACUAAACAAAGAAAAAAAAUACU